CCCUCCCCUCCCCGUGCCCUGAUCUCAUUCCACUCUCCCGAACCUCACCUCCCUCCGUCCCUUUAUAUCUGCGCGUCGCCGGCCCCGAUCCCCUGCCGCACGAGCGCAGCCGGCAUGGAAAAGACGUCGCCGCGGCCAGCACACCCGUCACCUCCGUCCCCCUUGCAACUGCGCAUCUUCUCUCCCAUGCCCGCACUGGGCACCCCCAACCCUGGUGCGUUGCCCUACCCCGUGCCCUUCGUCGCGGGCUACUUCUCCUCCUCGUCCAACGCCACUGCCGCCACCACUGUGUCCCCGUUCUCCGAAGUUGCCUCAUUCUCCUGCGUGUCCCUGUUCGGAGACGCCCCGCCUAGCACCUGGGAGAGCUCGAUCCUGCAGACUGGAACUCGAUCCGGGCAUGGAUGAGAUGGAUCCGAAGAAAGGAGUUCGAUUUGGGAGGGUCGGUCACAGAUCAUCAUCAGCUGUGUUGUCCUUCGUCGGGUGGUCGUGCAGGAUGUCGUGGAGGCUGAGCUUGACACACUCCCUCACGCACAGCCUCGCCCGUGCCAGGGUUGAUGGCGAGUGUGUGCAGGUCGAUGAGGGCAGGGUGGCCAAGCAAGCAACGCCGCCGCCGCCGCGAGCAAGGGUUGCCUCGUGGUCUCGGAUUCCGGCGACCAUGGCGGUUGCCGCCCCGGGCAUCUCAACCUCGAUGAGUCCGCCGUCGGGAUUUCGCAUCCGCGUCGCCACCGUCGUUUCCACCGCCGUCGCCCACCGUCAUCGCCUCUUUUGCCGUCAAAGGCGCACAGUUCCAUCGCCUUCACUUGUAAGUGGUGUCGACGUGCAUCUGUGAUCCCCUCCGCUCUUUCUCCUAUUUCUUUUAUCGAUGCUCGCUGAGUUUAGCUCCGGUCGGCCAAGUGGCCAUGGCCGUCGAUCUAGCUCCGGUCCAAUUUAUUUUGCAGGGGUUUGCCGAGUUUAGCUCUGGCCAGCAGCAUCAUCGUGGCCGUCGAGGUAGCUUUGGCUGCGUUGGUGCCUUGUGUAGUCGUCACCGACGAGCUGGUGCCUUUCGUGCUACCUUCUUCUACUCCGGCCGGUGUUUCGUCGGUGGACUGCAUGGUGGGGCCACACCAGCUGACGGUGGGUACGCGCUGCUGCGCCCAGGCAGAGAGGUCGAACAGAGAGGCCUGGCGCAGCUCCGGCUAGGCGGGUCACCAUGCGGAGCACAUGUCCUCAUCUCCCAUGAAUUCACCCACACACCAUGAAAUGUCGUUCAUUGAUGCCGACCAUAUACCUUUUGGCCGCAACCGACAUGUGAAUGGGCGUCGGCGCUCUCACGCACGGCUUCAGGAAGAGUUUUCAAAACUUCUUAUUUACGACGUGCAUAUGAUGAUGUUUCGAACAAGGGUAUUAUUGGGAAGGAUGGGUAUGUAUGAUCAGUAUCAGGAUUGGCACCUUGAUGUCGAUAACAUGACAUAUGAGGUACCCCAGCUGCAUAUCAUGUACCCUAAAAAUCGAAAGUUUGCACGGUUAUCAUCACUUACUAUUUCAUUGGACAGGAACUGCUUGAUCUUGAGUACCGAAUUGGAUAUGUAAGUACAGGGUUGCAUGAGGAUGAGAUCAUUCGAAACCUUAGGAUGGUCAAAUACUUGCAUUCCACCCCAUACAUUUUUCAACAUAAAUGGAUCGGAGAUGUAGCAUUUGUCAAGUAUAUACGGGGAUAUUGUUUCAUCGCAUAUCACAUGUAGGCAUGAUGAUAUACAAUUUAGAUGAUGGUUACAUAUAGGUAAAUAGUAUUGCCUUCUCGCAAGCUUCCCCGGUUGUCCAGAGUGAAGGACCUGAAGACACCUCAGCAUAUGGAUCUUUUGAAGCCUCCAUCUUUCUUACUUGACUGAGUAUGUAUUCAUCAUUCGGUUCGAGCUUACUUAGAAUUUUUUUUAUCUGUUGUAUAUCAAUAUAGAAACCCUUCUCGCCCA